UACGAAGGGGGCUAGCGUUGCUCGGAAUUACUGGGCGUAAAGCGCACGUAGGCGGAUUGUUAAGUCGGGGGUGAAAUCCUGGAGCUCAACUCCAGAACUGCCUUCGAAACUGGCGAUCUUGAGUCCGGGAGAGGUGAGUGGAACUGCGAGUGUAGAGGUGAAAUUCGUAGAUAUUCGCAAGAACACCAGUGGCGAAGGCGACUUACUGGACACAUAUUGACGCUGAGGUGCGAAAGCGUGGGGAGCAAACAGG
rnacentral:rRNA from 1 species